rnacentral:sRNA from 1 species
GCAGGGUGAGGUAGUGUACACCUGUAAUCCUAGCAGCUUGGGAUACUGAGGCAGGAGGAUUGCAAGUUCAAGGCCAGUCUCAGCAAUUUAGUGAGCCCCAAAGCAACUCAGUGAGACCCUGCCUCUA